rnacentral:misc_RNA from 1 species
AACGCACCUUGCGCUCCUUGGUAUUCCGAGGAGCAUGCCUGUUUGAGUGUCAUUAAAUUCUCAACUACACUAGUUUCUUGUAAACUAGUUGUAGCUUGGAUUGUGGGGGUAUUCCUGCGGGCUUCUAUUAUUGAGGCCAGCUCCCCUGAAAUGCAUUAGCGGAACCGUUUGCGGUCAGUCACCGGUGUGAUAAUUAUCUACGCCCAAGACAAAGGCUGCUCUCUGUUUGUUCAGCUUCUAAUCGUCCUUUCAGGACAACUUUCGAAUAUUUGACCUCAAAUCAGGUAGGACUACCCGCUGAACUUAA